GAGCGGUUGGCGUAGCGCGCAAAGCGUCGGCUUGCUAAGCCGAAAGUCCCGGGUUCGAUUCCCGUUUGGGUCC
rfam:Habropoda laboriosa contig4002, whole genome shotgun sequence.